AUCUGGUGCUGGGGACACUUGUGCAACAAGUUCUUGAACCGUUCCCAAUACUCAUAGAGCGACUCUCCUGGAUGCUGUUUGAUCCCACAAAUUUCUUUCCUUAGACU